UUUAGUUGGUGAAAAUUUUUUAUUUUAGAUACCGUAGCACUUUCAUAUCUUUUGCUGGCCGGGACGGAGGGUUGACUUUGGGGGAUCAUCUCAUCAUCCUAUGAUCCUGUCUCUUCUCGGACAGUCGGACGCGCUGCCUUUGCACUUGUCAUACAUUUGUUUAGACAUGGAUGGGACGCGUUACCUUGCACUGUGUGUAGUGGAGUACCGGUCUUGUUUAGUUCAUAAAAAAAUAAAAACUUUUUAAAAUUUCUAUCAUAUUGAAUCUUACGGUACAUAUAUAUAGAACAUUAAAUAUAGAUAAAAAUAAAAACUAAUUACACAAUUUGUCUAUAAAUCACGAGACGAAUCUUUUAAACCUAGUUACUCCAUAAUUAGAUAAUAUUUAUUAAAUAAAAAUAAAAAUAUUACAGUGUCAAAACCUAAAAAAUUUUUUGAUCUAAACAAGACCUUAAGACCUGU
rnacentral:lncRNA from 1 species